GAGCCAGCGAGUCUGAGGUCUCUCUUCGGUUGGAGGAACUCGUCAAAAGUAAGAGUAUUAUCAUCAGUGCUCGCUAGUCCAUUGAGGUCUUUUGAAGUGUUUGGUGGUGUGUCGCGUGAGCUCUCUCGUACUCAUGCGCCGAUAGUGUACGCAGUGAUAUUGUGCGUGGGAUAAUCUUCUAAGUAGUGUAUCUUAUCGGAAGCUAAGCCUAUAGUGUAAACAUGAACCGUUUUGUAGCCGUUGGUCUGCUGCUGGCUGUUAGUGCACAUGCUCAGCAGUUCAAAUGUCCUUCCAAGGACGGCCAGUACGAGGAUCCGAUCCAGUGUGACAAGUACUACGAAUGCUAUGAUGGACGUGCCACGGAAAACUGUGCCCUGAUGGUCUUGUGUUUGAUCCAACGAUCAGGAAGAUCAACAAGUGCGACCAGCCCUUCAACGUUGAUUGUGGCGAUCGAGUAGAGUUGCAACAACCCAAGGGAAAUAGCUUGUGCCCACGAAAGAACGGAUUCUUUGCCCAUCCAGAUGCGGCCGUGUGCAACGUGUUCUACAAUUGCAUCGAAGGAGAGGCCAACGAAAUUACUUGCACUUCUGGACUCCACUUUGACGAAUACACGGGAACCUGCGUGUGGCCAAACGAUGCCGGACGCCAAGGAUGCAACCCUGGAACCAACAAGAAACUAAAGGACGGAUUCACCUGCCCAAAAGAACAAAAGACUGACGAGGCCGGCCAGUCCGUGGCGCAUCCCAAGUACGCUCACCCAACAGAUUGCCAGCGAUUCUACGUUUGUCUGAACGGAGUUGAGCCACGUGACCUUGGUUGCCAGGCUGGUGAAGUGUAUAACGAGGAAACCGAGCGAUGCGAUGCACCGGAAAAUGUUCCUGGGUGUGAGGAUUGGUACAAAGACAGUGAUGAAAAGAAGCACUAAAUCACGUCGCAGAUCGAUGAUAUCUCAUUUAUCAUUUUUUGAUCACUCAUAAGACUACAUAAUGUAAAAUUAUUUGGAAUUAGUUAACUUAAUAAACGACUGUUUUAACUAAA